CGCAAUUACAGAGUCCUACGUGUAUGUUGC
rnacentral:piRNA from 1 species